UUCCUUCCUGCUCUGGCUGACUGGGGACUGUUCUUGGUGGUUGGUGUCCCAGGACCAGGAGAGACCUGAAGAGACCUGAGAACAAGCAGCCCUGGACUCAGCUCUGGGUUCUGAAAGCCCAUUUCCUGCUCUGCAGCUCUUCCCACCCUGCCUCUUCUCAGCCUUGCAGCUCAAGUGUUGAUCUCAGGAGUCCAGGACCCAGGAGAAGGAAGAAUCUGAGGAACGCAGAACAGUGAGCGUUGCCCACACCCCAUCCUCCAUCACCACAUCUCCCUUCACCCUCACCAUCCCUGCCUGGCCCUAGGCCCCAUCCCUGCACCUCUGUAUCAGCUGACUUCUUCCAGUGUCCCGCAGGACCCUCUGGGUUCCUCCCUCCUCUGACUUUUCCUACCACUCCCCUUCUAUCAGCAUCUAUCUGCAGGUGCCCUGGGGUCUAUAAAACUGGGUUCUGAAUGCUGAAUAAGAGACAGUAAGAGCCAAGGCAAAGGAGAGCACUGUUCUUUGCCUGCCUGAUACCCUCACCACCCAUAAACAUCCCCCAGAUACUCCCUUAACUCUGAGACAAAGAUGGCUGGUGGAGCCUGGGGCCGCCUGGCCUGUUACUUGGAGCUCCUGAAGAAGGAGGAACUGAAGAAGUUCCAGCUUCUGCUGACCAAUAAAGCACACUCCAGGGGCUCUUCGGGUGAGACACCUGCUCAACCAGAGAAGAUGAGUGGCAUGCAGGUGGCCUCACACCUGGUGGCUCAGUAUGGGGAGCAGCAGGCCUGGGACCUGGCCAUCCAUACCUGGGAGCAGAUGGGCCUGAGGUCACUGUGUACCCAAGCUCAGGAAGAGGCAGGCCACUAUCCCUCAUUCCCCUCCAGCCUAAGUGAACCCAGCCUGGAGUCUCCCAACCAACCCACCUCCACUGCAGUGCUUAGGUCCUGGAUCCCUGAAUUGCAGGGGUGCACCCAGGGCUCAGAGAGAAGCAUUUUGAGACACCUACCUGACACGUCUGGACACCACUGGAGAGAAAUCACUUCCUCACUCCUCUACCAAGCUCCUUUAAGCUCUCCAGACUAUGGGUCUCCAAGCCAUGACUCACCCAAUGUCCCCACAUCCACUGCAGAGCUGGGGAGCUGGGAAUCCCCACUUCAUCCCAGCCCAGUGCCCAGAGAGCAGGAGGCUCCUGGUACCCAGUGGCCUCUGGAUGAAACGUUGGGAAAUUACUACACAGGAAUCAGAGAAAGAGACCAGAGCCUGUGGAGGGGGAGCCCCUGUUCCACAUGGUCCUGGAAAAAUGAGGAUUUGAACCAAAAAUUUACACAGCUGCUACUUCUACAAAGGCCUCACCCCAGAAGCCAUGAGUGCCUGGUCAGGGGAAGAUUGCUUCAUAAUGUGGAGGAGGAUCAAGGACAUUUAAUUGAGAUCGGAGACUUAUUUGGCCCAGGCCUAGAUACCCAGGAACCUCGCGUAGUCAUACUGCAGGGGGCUGCUGGAAUUGGGAAGUCAACACUGGCCAGGUGGGUGAGGGAGGCCUGGGGGAGAGGCCAGCUGUAUAGGGAUUGCUUCCAACAUGUCUUCUACUUCAGCUGCAGAGAGCUGGCCCAGUCCAAGGUGCUGAGUCUUGCUGAGCUCAUUGGAAAAGACUGGACAGCCACUCAGGCUCCCAUUAGACAGAUCCUGUCUAGGCCAGAGCGGCUACUCUUCAUCCUCGAUGGUGUGGAUGAACCAAAAUGGGUCUUGGAGGAGCAGAGUCCCGAACUCUGUCUGCACUGGAGCCAGCCGCAGCCAGCGGAUGCACUGCUGGGCAGUUUGCUGGGGAAAAGCAUACUUCCCAAGGCAUCCUUCCUGAUCACUGCUCGGACCACAGCUCUGCAGAGUCUCAUUCCUUCUUUGGAGCAGGCACGUUGGGUAGAGGUCCUGGGGUUCUCUGAGUCCAGCAGGAAGGAGUAUUUCUAUAAAUAUUUCACAAAUGAAAGGCAAGCAAGUAGAGCCGUUAGGUUGGUCAAAUCAAACAAAGAACUCUGGGCCCUGUGUCUCGUGCCCUGGGUGUCCUGGCUGGCCUGCACUUGCCUGAUGCAGCAGAUGAAGCAGAAGGAAGAACUCACACUGACCUCCAAGACCACCACGACCCUCUGUCUGCAUUACUUUUCCCAGACUCUCCAAGCUCAGCCAUUGGGGUCCCAGCUCCGGGGCUUCUGCUCCCUGGCUGCUGAGGGCAUCUGGCAAAGAAAGACCCUUUUCAGUCCAGAUGACCUCAAGAAGCAUGGGUUAGAUGGGGCCAUCAUCUCCUCCCUCUUGAAGAUGGGUAUUCUUCAAGAGCACCCCAUCCCUCUGAGCUACAGCUUCAUUCACCUCUGUUUCCAGGAGUUCUUUGCAGGAAUGUCCUGUGCCUUGGAGGAUAAGAAGGAGGGAAGUGAACAUUCUAAUCACAUCAUGGGUUUGGGAAAGUUGCUAGAAACAUAUGGAACACAUGACCUGUUCAGGGCACCAACCACACGUUUCCUACUGGGCCUGUUAAGUGAACAGGGGGCAAGAGAGAUGGAGAACAUCUUCGACUGCCGGCUGUCUCAGGAGAGGAAGAGGAGGCUUCUGCAGUGCACCCAGUUCCUGCAGCCCCCACUGCAGUCAUACCCUCUGGAGUUCCUCCACUGUUUGUACGAGACUCAGGGCAAAAGGUUCCUGACACAAAUGAUGGCCCAUUUCCAAGAAGUGUGCAUGUGUGUGGAAACAGACAUGGAGCUCCUGGUGUGCACUUUCUGCAUUAAAUUCUGCCACAACGUGAAGAAGCUUCAACUGAUUGAGGGCAGGCAGCAUGGACCAGCAUGGAGCCUUGACAGGGUAGUCCUGUUCAGGUGGGUCCCAGCCACAGAUGCCUAUUGGCAGAUUCUCUUCUCCGUUCUCAAGGUCACCGGAAGCCUGAAGGAGCUGGACCUAAGUGGAAACUUGCUUAGCCUCUCUGCAGUGCAGAGUCUUUGUGAGACCCUGAGAUACCCUCGCUGCCUCCUGGAGACCCUGCGGUUGGCCGGCUGUGGCCUCACAGCUGAGGGCUGCAAGGACCUUGCCUCUGGGCUGAGAACCAACCAGACCCUGACAGAGGUGGAGCUGAGCUUCAAUGUGCUCACAGAUGCCGGAGCCAAACAUCUUUGCCAGGGACUGAGACGGCCAAGCUGCAAGCUACAGCGACUGCAGCUGGUCAGUUGUGGCCUCACGUCUGGCUGCUGCCGAGCCCUGGCCUCUGUGCUUAGCGCCAGCCCCAGCCUGAAGGAGCUAGACCUGCAGCAGAACGACCUAGAUGAUGUCGGCGUGCAGCUGCUCUUUAAGGGACUCAGGCAUCCUACCUGCAAACUCACACGCCUGGGGCUGGACCAGACAACUCUGAGCGAUGAGACCAGGCAGGAGCUGAGAGCCCUGGAGAAGGAGAAGUCCCAGCUGCUCUUGUCCUACACACGGAAACCAAGUGUGAUGAUCCCUAAUGAGGGCCCGGAUACAGGAGAGAUGAGUAACAGCACAUCCUCACUCAAGCGGCAGAGACUCAGAUCAGAGACGGAGUCUUCCUAUGUUGCUCAGGCUGAUCUCAAACCCUUGGACUGGAGCAAUCCUCCUGCCAAGGCCUUUCACAGUGCUGGGAUGACGAGCAAGAGCCACGAGGGAAGCGUCCCAAGGAUAGCACAGCAGGAACUCGCCUGUCUGCCUUCUCCUGCCUCUCAGGAGGACCUGCAUACGAAGCCUUUGGGGACUGAUGAUGACUUCUGGGGCCCCACAGGGCCUGUGGCUACUGAGGUAGUUGACAAAGAAAGGAGCCUGUACCGAGUUCACUUCCCUAUGGCUGGCACCUACCGCUGGCCUAACAUGGGUCUCUGCUUUGUGGUGAGAGAAGCCGUUACCACUGAAAUUGAGUUGUGUGUGUGGGAUAAGCUCCUGGGCGAAAUCAACCAACAGCACAGCUGGAUGGUGGCAGGGCCUCUGUUGGACAUCAAGGCUGAGCCUGGAGCCAUCAAAGCUGUGCACCUCCCUCACUUUGUGGCUCUCCAAGGGGGCCACAUUGAUACAUCCCUGUUCCAAGUAGCCCACUUUAAAGAGGAGGGGAUGCUCCUGGAGAAGCCAGCCAAGGUGGAGCUGCAUCACAUAGUUCUGGAAGACCCCAGCUUCUCCCCCAUGGGAGUCCUCCUAAGAGUGAUCCAUAAUGCCCUGCGCAUCUUUCCCGUCACCUCGAUGGUGCUGCUCUACCACCGCAUCCAUCCUGAGGAAGUCACCUUCCACCUGUACCUGAUCCCAAGUGACGGCUCCAUUCGGAAGGCCGUAGAUGAUGAAGAAACGAAGUUCCAGUUUGUGCGACUACACAAGCCACCCCCGCUGACCCCACUUUAUAUGGGCUCUCGUUAUGCUGUGUCUGGUUCAGAGGAGCUGGAAAUAAUCCCCGAGGAACUGGAGCUCUGCUAUCGAAGCCCUGGAGAACCCCAGCUGUUCUCCGAGUUCUAUGUUGGCCACUUGGGAUCAGGGAUCAGGCUGCAAAUGAAAAACAAGACAGAUGAGACUUUGGUGUGGGAGGCCUUGGUGAAACCAGGAGAUCUCACACCUGCAACUACUCUGGUCCCUCCAGCCCCCAAAGCCUUACCUUCCCCUCUGGAUGCCCUGGGGUUGCUGCACUUCGUGGACCAGUAUCGAGAGCAGCUGGUGGCCCGAGUGACAUCAGUGGAACCUGUCUUGGACAACCUGCUUGGACAUGUGCUGAGCCAGGAGCAGUACGAGGGGGUGCUGGCCGAGGACACCAGGCCAAGCAAGAUGCGGAAGCUGUUCAGCUUCAGCCAGUCCUGGGACAGGAGCUGCAAAGAUCGACUCUACCAAGCCCUGAAGGAGACCCAUCCUUACCUCAUUAUGGAACUCUGGGAGAAGGGCAGCAAAAAGGGACUCCUGCCACUCAGCAUCUGAGGCAUGAACACCAGCCCUUGAGUCCUGGCUUUGCUUGACCCUUCUUUGGGUCUGUUUCUUUCUCUGCAAACAAGUUGCCAUCUGAUUUGCCUUCCAGCACUAGAGUAGUGGAACAUUGAUGAUGCCUUUGCUGGGCAUUAUAUGUCCAUGCCAGGGAUGCCACAUGGGGCCCCAGUCCAGGUGGCCUAACAGCAUCUCAGGGAAUGUCCAUCUGGAGCUGGCAGGACCCCUGCAGACCUCAUAGAGCCGCAUCUGGUGGCCAUAGCAGCCAAGCCUAGAGCCCUCCGGAUCCCAUCCAGAUGCAAGGAGGAAUAGAAGGGACAUGGAAACUUUUGCCUCUGGCUAUGUCACAGGAUGAGUCCCAAAACUGGGGUUCAGCAUGGGAGGCCACGUGGAUUACUGGCUUCUCGCAGGAAGAUAUACAAGAGCAAGCCGACAGAAAAGUGGAAGGAAGUUUAUUAAGAAAAUAAAGGAGUGUUACAGCGCUUUUAGAAUUUGUCUAGCAGGCUUUCCAGUUCUUACCAGAAAAACCCUCAGGCCACACACCCAUCAGGCUGGCCUUGUCCUUCAGGUCCUUCAUGCCCCACCCACCCAUCUCCUUUAGCACACACACACCUCUGCUCUCCACAUAACCCUCCCUCCAAGAAGAAACCCCAACGGUUAUCAGGAGGACUGAGCCAAGUUGUUUAAGGAAGAAAGAGAAAGAACCACACACCCAAGUGAAGAUACACUUGAUCAAGCUGCAUUUUAUCCAUAAUGCCAGCAGGAGGCCUUUGCUAUCCCCAGUGCUCUAUAGACACAAACCCAGUGAAUCUGCACAGGGACACCAGGAGGAGAUGCUGUUAUCAGCCCACUUGACAGAUGAUGCACACACAGGUCAAGUAAUCUGCUCAGAGUCCCACAUUUGGUAAGAGCCCUUGCUGGGAGUCAAAACCGGGCAGUCCAGAUCAUUUAACUGCUCUACUAGAUGACUCUCCAGUGCCCCACCUUUAUGUGAUGUGGGUGCCACUGUCCCUGCUUGAGCAGGAGAGUCACUGUGCCCCUCAACAGCUCACCUGAGGCUGGAAGGUACUGAUAACACACUCAGCAGAGAGGGCAGGUCCAGGCAUCAGGCCACAGGCCCAAGGGCAGCAUCUAAAGGAGGGAGAGUCCCCAGGCAGCAAUGUCCCAAGGCCAACACUGGGCAUGUGGCUGAGAAAGGAUGAAGGAUCUGAUGGGCUUUCAUUAUGGAGCACUAGUGAUGCUUUGAGCCAUUUUUCUAUUCAUUGCCUGUCUUCUCUAUUGGGCUAUGAGCUCUGAAAUUGCAGUAUCCACAUCUUCCCUGUUCACAGCUACAUCCAUAAGCCCUGGCACAAUGUAAGUAUUCAGUAAGCUUUUGUAUAUUAGGCUGGGCACAGUGGCUCAGGCCUGUAAUCCCAGCACUUUGGGAGGCCAAAGCACCCACACAGUGCUAGACAAUGAGGCUCAUCCUGAAAAGAAGAGUUUGAAUGAUGGGAGGCCAAACACCUGACCAAUGUAGGCCACUCUUGAUCACUCCAUUUUCCCACUGCCCCUUCCUCCUCCUCGUUCUCUACCUGCCCAGAGUCAAACCUGCCAGCAUCACCCAAUGGUCUCUCAGAGUUACAGAAUCCACACCAGCACAGGCAACCAAAGGUUCGAUAUCUUUCCCAGCUCCAGGGCCAGGGGCUGGGCCUGUGUAUGAGUUUGACUUAAGGGAGUUCCUGAGAUGCAGCCACCUUAGAGAAUUUCUCACGACCUCCAAAGGCCCCAGGCCCAGGCAUAUCCCCUUCUCCGUGCUGGGUGUCUUAGUCCAUUCAGGCUCCUAUAAGAAAAUACCAUUAACUGGGUGGCUUAUGAAUGACAAAUGUUUAUUUGUUUAUUUCUCACAGUUCUUGAGAGUAUUUAGACCAAGAACAAGGUGCUGGCAGAUUCAAUGUCUAGCCAGGGCCCUCUUCCUCAUAGAUGUCACCUUCUAGCUGUGCCUUUACAGGGCAAAGGAGCAAACAAGCUCCCUUGGGUCUUUUUAUAAGGGCACUGAUCCCAUUCAUGAGAAUGCAUGCUCAGUGGACGGUACCACCCUUUACUGACUUUGGGGAAACUGGAGAAGGAGCUGGCAAAACUGAAGAGGGGUUUUUGGACUUGCCAGCCUAUAUAAUCAUGUCAGCCAAUUCUUAAACAUAAAUGUCUCAAUAUA